ACACAUAUCAGGCAGGGGAGACACCAUGUUCACAAAGGUGAUUUUCUCAGAGCAAGACUUAGCCUUUGAACUCUGUAUGCACUGACCCCUGUGAUUUCCCAAAAUGCUGAAACUUCAACUAAAUAAUUUGUGCAAGUGGUGCACUAUAUUCAUAUUCUCCCCCA